rnacentral:sRNA from 1 species
AGGCGUGACUGCUCGCAGUCAAAGCCUUCUGUCCAUGAGCUGAGUGAACGAACAUGAGCAGGUAGGACGAAAGUCCGGAGUGCGAAUGUUUGUGACGAUUUCGAGGGUGCGAAGCACGAAGAAAUCGU